AACGAACGCUGGCGGCGCGUCUUAAACAUGCAAGUCGAACGGCAGGAAGGGGCUUGCCCCUUCUGAGAGUGGCGGACUGGUGAGUAACACGUGGGUGACAUACCUUUUAGUUGGGGAUAGCUAUUAGAAAUAGUAGGUAAUACCGAAUGUGACCGUACCUGUUAGAGGGGUACGAGGAAAGGAGCUAAGGCUUCGCUAAAAGAAUGGCUCGCGGCCCAUUAUGCUCGUUGGUGAGGUAACGGCCCACCAAGGCGAUGAUGGGUAUCCGGCCUGAGAGGGUGAACGGACACAUUGGGACUGAGAUACGGCCCAGACUUCUACGGGAGGCAGCAGUUAAGAAUAUUCCGCAAUGGACGAAAGUCUGACGGAGCGACGCCGCGUGGAUGAAGAAUGCCGAAAGGUUGUAAAAUCCUUUUAAGCCUGAUGAAUAAGCACAGUAGGGAAUGAUUGUGCGGUGACCGUAGGGCUUAAAUAAGCACCGGCUAAUUACGUG
rnacentral:rRNA from 1 species